AGUGGCAGACGGGUGAGUAACGCGUGGGAACGUACCUUUUGGUUCGGAACAACACAGGGAAACUUGUGCUAAUACCGGAUAAGCCCUUACGGGGAAAGAUUUAUCGCCGAAAGAUCGGCCCGCGUCUGAUUAGCUAGUUGGUGAGGUAAUGGCUCACCAAGGCGACGAUCAGUAGCUGGUCUGAGAGGAUGAUCAGCCACAUUGGGACUGAGACACGGCCCAAACUCCUACGGGAGGCAGCAGUGGGGAAUAUUGGACAAUGGGCGAAAGCCUGAUCCAGCCAUGCCGCGUGAGUGAUGAAGGCCCUAGGGUUGUAAAGCUCUUUUGUGCGGGAAGAUAAUGACGGUACCGCAAGAAUAAGCCCCGGCUAACUUCGUGCCAGCAGCCGCGGUAAUACGAAGGGGGCUAGCGUUGCUCGGAAUCACUGGGCGUAAAGGGUGCGUAGGCGGGUUUCUAAGUCAGAGGUGAAAGCCUGGAGCUCAACUCCAGAACUGCCUUUGAUACUGGAAGUCUUGAGUAUGGCAGAGGUGAGUGGAACUGCGAGUGUAGAGGUGAAAUUCGUAGAUAUUCGCAAGAACACCAGUGGCGAAGGCGGCUCACUGGGCCAUUACUGACGCUGAGGCACGAAAGCGUGGGGAGCAAACAGGAUUAGAUACCCUGGUAGUCCACGCCGUAAAC
rnacentral:rRNA from 1 species